AGAGUUUGAUCAUGGCUCAGAACGUACGCUGGCGGCACGCCUAACACAUGCAAGUCGAACGAAGUAGCAAUACUUAGUGGCAGACGGGUGAGUAACAUGUAGGUAUCUGCCCUUUGGCCUGGAAUAACACGAGGAAACUUGUGCUAAUACCGGAUAAGUCUUUACGGAGAAAGCUUUAUGCACCAUUGGAUGAGCCUGCACUUGAUUAGUUUGUUGGUGGGGUAAUGGCCUACCAAGACUGUGAUCAAUAGCUGAUUUGAGAGGAUGAUCAGCCACAUUGGGACUGAGACACGGCCCAAACUCCUACGGGAGGCAGCAGUGGGGAAUCUUGCACAAUGGAGGAAACUCUGAUGCAGCGAUGCCGCGUGAGUGAAGAAGGCCUUUGGGUUGUAAAGCUCUUUCGUCGGGGAAGAAAAUGACUGUACCCGAAUAAGAAGGUCCGGCUAACUUCGUGCCAGCAGCCGCGGUAAUACGAAGGGACCUAGCGUAGUUCGGAAUUACUGGGCUUAAAGAGUUCGUAGGUGGUUGAAAAAGUUAGUGGUGAAAUCCCAGAGCUUAACUCUGGAACUGCCAUUAAAACUUUUCAGCUAGAGUAUGAUAGAGGAAAGCAGAAUUUCUAGUGUAGAGGUGAAAUUCGUAGAUAUUAGAAAGAAUACCAAUUGCGAAGGCAGCUUUCUGGAUCAUUACUGACACUGAGGAACGAAAGCAUGGGCAGCGAAGAGGAUUAGAUACCCUCGUAGUCCAUGCCGUAAACGAUGUGUGUUAGACGUUGGAAAUUUAUUUUCAGUGUCGCAGCGAAAGCGAUAAACACACCGCCUGGGGAGUACGACCGCAAGGUUAAAACUCAAAUGAAUUGACGGGGACCCGCACAAGUAGUGGAGCAUGUGGUUUAAUUCGAAGAUACGCGCAGAACCUUACCAACACUUGACAUGUUCGUCGCGACUCUAAGAGAUUAGAGUUUUCGGUUCGGCCGGACGAAACACAGGUGCUGCAUGGCUGUCGUCAGCUCGUGUCGUGAGAUGUUGGGUUAAGUCCCGCAACGAGCGCAACCCUCACUUUUAGUUGCCAUCAUUUAGUUGGGCACUCUGAAAGAACUGCCAGUGAUAAGCUGGAGGAAGGUGGGGAUGACGUCAAGUCCUCAUGGCCCUUACGUGUUGGGCUACACACGUGCUACAAUGGUAUCUACAACAGGAAGCAAGACGGCGACGUUAAGCAAAUCCUUAAAAGAUACCUCAGUUCGGAUUGCACUCUGCAACUCGAGUGCAUGAAGCUGGAAUUACUAGUAAUCGUGGAUCAGCGUGCCACGGUGAAUGCGUUCCCNGGGUCUUGUACACACCG
rnacentral:rRNA from 1 species